UACGUAGGUGGCAAGCGUUGUCCGGAAUUAUUGGGCGUAAAGCGCGCGCAGGCGGUCUCUUAAGUCUGAUGUGAAAUCCCGUGGCUUAACCACGGGCGGUCAUUGGAAACUGGGGGACUUGAGUGCAGAAGAGAAGAGCGGAAUUCCACGUGUAGCGGUGAAAUGCGUAGAGAUGUGGAGGAACACCAGUGGCGAAGGCGGCUCUUUGGUCUGUAACUGACGCUGAGGCGCGAAAGCGUGGGGAGCGAACAGG
rnacentral:rRNA from 2 species